UCUGAUGUGAAAGCCCACGGCUCAACCCGUGGAGGGUCAUUGGAAACUGGGGAACUUGAGUGCAGAAGAGAAAAGCGGAAUUUCCACGUGUAGCGGUGAAAUGCGUAGAGAUGUGGAGGAACACCAGUGGCGAAGGCGGCUUUUUGGUCUGUAACUGACGCUGAGGCGCGAAAGCGUGGGGAGCAAACAGGAUUAGAUACCCUGGUAGUCCACGCCGUAAACGAUGAGUGCUAAGUGUUAGAGGGUUUCCGCCCUUUAGUGCUGCAGCUAACGCAUUAAGCACUCCGCCUGGGGAGUACGGUCGCAAGACUGAAACUCAAAGGAAUUGACGGGGGCCCGCACAAGCGGUGGAGCAUGUGGUUUAAUUCGUAGCAACGCGAAGAACCUUACCAGGUCUUGACAUCCUCUGACAACUCUAGAGAUAGAGCGUUCCCCUUCGGGGGACAGAGUGACAGGUGAUGCAUGGUUGUCGUCAGCUCGUGUCGUGAGAUGUUGGGUUAAGUCCCGCAACGAGCGCAACCCUUGAUCUUAGUUGCCAGCAUUUAGUUGGGCACUCUAAGGUGACUGCCGGUGACAAACCGGAGGAAGGUGGGGAUGACGUCAAAUCAUCAUGCCCCUUAUGACCUGGGCUACACACGUGCUACAAUGGAUGGUACAAAGGGCUGCAAGACCGCGAGGUCAAGCCAAUCCCAUAAAACCAUUCUCAGUUCGGAUUGUAGGCUGCAACUCGCCUACAUGAAGCUGGAAUCGCUAGUAAUCGCGGAUCAGCAU
rnacentral:rRNA from 2 species